ACAGAAUCGGAUCUAUGCUUCUGUGGUACUGCAAUUGAUGGAUUCAAAUCACACUUGAGCUCUAUGAAUCAUUGCUCAUGUUAGUGUGCAUCUUUUGAAUUCCAUAUCAAACAUCACAGAUCUAUCCAGAUGCAGUUUCAACUUAGAAAUUUGACAGAAUAAAAUCAAAACACAUUACUGGACAUAACAGAAUUGGAUUUGAAAAUUAAAAGACUCAAGGACACAAGAUCGGACCGAUUAAAAAAAUGAACAAAUAAAAGUAAUGAAAAGCUAGAUCAAACAAUGCAAUCAGUGGAAACUACUGGAAUGAAGAGAAACCAAUGGAACAGUGAAACAGAGAAGCACACGCAAGGAAGAUGUUGACAGUGUGGAAUGAAAGAAGAAUCUACUUAGCUGGAGCGUGUUGUAGAUCAACCUU
rnacentral:lncRNA from 1 species